AGUAAAGUAAGCUAAGUUUAAGCUUCUGGGCCCAUACCCCAAAAAUGUAGGUUAGAAUCCUUCCUUUAUUA
rnacentral:tRNA from 1 species